CGGCCACUCCCUUUGGUCCCAUCUGUAGCUCUGCCCACCAAACUUGGCAAUAGGAAAUCCUCCCAGUGAACAGAGCCUGCGAAGAAGAAGCCAAAUGUCCCUGGCAGGGAGCCUCAUCCGCACUCGCCCCAGCGGCACGGGAGCUGCUUACCCAUCACUCGUCCUAGAUACAAGGCCUUGGCACGGAUCUCAGGAUCAAACUCGGGCCUUUACACACGGAGCCAUCUCACCAACACCACAACGCCCCCCACCUUGAUACAGGGUGUCAUGUAGCCCAGGCUGUCCUCAAACUUACCAUGUAGCCAGGGGAUGACCUGAAACUUCUGCUCCUUCUGCCUCAGCCUCCAACACUGAGAUUACACACCAAGUCUGUGCAGUGCUGGGGAUGGAGCCCGGGACUUCAUACAUGUUGGGCAAGCGCUCUACCAACUAAGCCACAUCGCCAGCCCCCAGCGAGCUGACUUUGGGGAAAACACUUUACUUUCUCAGCCUGUUUAAUGGUUCAUAAGAUGGAGCUCAGAAUAACUGCCAACCACAGCUACUUCACAGAACUGAUGUAGGGUCAUGAGAGGUGAUACGUGUAAAAAUCCGCUGCAUACUGAAUCGUUUGACAUUUGGCAUUUGACAUUUUCUUGGGUGUGUCAUAGCCAAGAUCAUGAGGCUGUGACUUAGUGGGCCCAUCCCCCUCCACCUGUACCUGGAUAAAGAGGUUUCGGUA